GAGCGGUAACAGGUGUAGCAAUACAUGCUGACGAGCGGCGAACGGGUGAGUAAUGCUUCGGAAUCUGCCCAAUGGUGGGGAAUAACCAGCCGAAAGGUUGGCUAAUUCCGCAUACGCCCUUCGGGGGAAAGCGGGGGAUCGUAAGACCUCGCGCCGAUGGAUGAGCCGAAGUCGGAUUAGCUAGUUGGUAGGGUAACGGCCUACCAAGGCGACGAUCCGUAGCUGGUCUGAGAGGACGACCAGCCACACUGGGACUGAGACACGGCCCAGACUCCUACGGGAGGCAGCAGUGGGGAAUAUUGGACAAUGGGGGAAACCCUGAUCCAGCGACGCCGCGUGUGUGAAGAAGGCCUGCGGGUUGUAAAGCACUUUUAGUGGGGAUGAAAAGCUCAGGGCUAACACCUCUGGGUCUUGACCUAACCCACAGAAAAAGCACCGGCUAACUCUGUGCCAGCAGCCGCGGUAAU
rnacentral:rRNA from 1 species